AUACGGAGGAUCCGAGCGUUAUCCGGAUUUAUUGGGUUUAAAGGGUGCGCAGGCGGGGGAUUAAGUCGGCGGUGAAAUUUUGGGGCUCAACUGUAAAAGUGCCUUCGAAACUGGUUUUCUUGAGUGUAGAAGAGGAAGGCGGAAUUUGUGGUGUAGCGGUGAAAAGCAUAGAUAUCACGAGGAACUCCGAUUGCGCAGGCAGCUUACUAAACUACUACUGACGCUCAGGCACGAAGGCGUGGGGAUCAAACAGGAUUAGAUACCCUGGUAGUCCACGCAGUAAACGAUGAUUACUAGCUGUUUGCGAUACAAUGUAAGCGGCUGAGCGAAAGCGUUAAAUAAUCCACCUGGGGAGUACGUUCGCAAGAAUGAAACUCAAAGGAAUUGACGGG
rnacentral:rRNA from 1 species